AAUCAUCAGUAAGCGCCAGUUCUGUAGAUGAAAAUGCUUUGUGAUGAAAAAGGUCAAAGGAAAGUGGACACACUGGUUUGAGUUGAUCAAAGAGUGUUCCUAAUAAAGUGUAAUACCAGUGUGUGAAAAGCUUCUACAGCGCCUCCUACUGGCCUGGACUUUUAUUUAGGAAUCUAAAGUUGUAAUUACAAUUAUUUUCCGAUAGGAGGCAAUGUAGUGGUGUUCGUCAGUUACCGUUAAACACUGGCAUAAGAUUAAUAUUAUGGGUAAAAACAAAGUUUAUUAUUAAAAAUGAUGAAUAUUGUACAAUUUUUUGUUAUGUUUAUGGUUAAUGUCCCCAAACCCAAAUGAAGAUAUUGAGGUGUGGGUGAUAAAAGAUUUGUGUAAUGAAAUCUAUAGCUGUGAAUGAACCGUGUAUGUUGAAGUUGGUUAUUGUAAAAGACUGAGUCCCGCUGUAUUACUCAGGCUGCACUACAGCGUCUAUUCACAGGCGCGAUCCCACUACUGAUCAGCACGGGGGAUUUGACCUGCUCCGUUUCCGACCUGGGCCGGUUCUCCCCUCCUUAGGCGACCUGGUGCGCCCGAGCUCCCUCAGGAGCACCAUAUCGAUACCGAACUUAGUGCGGACACCCGAUCGACAUAGUGCACUGCAGCCCAGAACCCCUGAGCUCAAACGAUCCGCCAGCCUCAGCCUCCCAGCAGCUUGGAUUACAGGCACGCGCCACCGCGCCCGGCGAGAGCAGUACAGAGCUGCAGCGCUUUUCAACACAACAGUGCUCUGAGCGACAGCCCUCUAGCGGACAAACUAGGAACUACACACACCUCACUUUCCUUCUCGGUUCAGUAGGAUUUGACUGAGCAUGUAAAAGUUCUCAAAUGAAAGACUUGUUCAGAAUAUACACGUUAGCACAUAACGUGUGCAGGAGGCAUGUUUUUUUCUUUUAUUAGUUAGAUUAAGCAGUUAGUUCUUGUCAUUUAUUCAGGACUUAACUCAGGCUAAAUCAGAAUCAGAAUCAGAUUUAUUUUCCAAGUGUGUUGACACACACAAGGAAUUUGGUUCCAGCAGUUUGUGACUCUCAAAGGAGCUUGACAGAGGGAGUGUUUAGAGGUGCAGUCAUUUGUGUAGGGAGAGAAAAGCAGUGGGGAGAGAAUGCAGCCCUGAGGAGCUCCAGUGCUGAUGGUGUGGAUGUUGGAUGUGAGGUUUUACAGCCUCACUCAAUGCUGCCUGUCUGUCAGGAAGCUGGUGAUCCACUGACAGAUGGAGGUGGCUACAGAGAGCUGUGUCAGUUUAUUCAGGAGGGUACCUGGGAUGAUGGUGUUGAAAGCUGACCUGAAGUCCACAAACAGGAUCAUUUCAUAAGUCCCUGGUUUGUCCUGAUGUUGGAGGAUGUAGUGCAGUCCCAUGUUAAUGUCUUUUUUUCCAGCUUUUGAAAGUAGUUUUGCUUUGCCACCCUUAUCUUCUAUUUAGUGUGUAUUUGGCCUGUUUGUACAAGGCUUUAUUUAGGAAUCUAAAGUUGUAAUUACAAUUAUUCUCCGAUAAGAGUUAAUGUAGUGGUGUUCGUCAGAUACCGUUAAACACUGACAUAAGAUUAAUAUUAUGGGUAAAAACAAAGUUUAUUAUUGAUUUGUGUAAUGAAAUCUAUAGCUGUGAAUGAACCGUAUAUGUUGAAGUUGGUUAUUGUAAAAGACUGAGUCCCGCUGUAUUACUCAGGCUGCACUACAGCGUCUAUUCACAGGCGCGAUCCCACUACUGAUCAGCACGGGGGAUUUGACCUGCUCCGUUUCCGACCUGGGCCGGUUCUCCCCUCCUUAGACGACCUGGUGCGCCCGAGCUCCCUCAGGAGCACCAUAUCGAUACCGAACUUAGUGCGGACACCCGAUCGACAUAGUGCACUGCAGCCCAGAACCCCUGAGCUCAAACGAUCCGCCAGCCUCAG